AAUUCUCAACCUAUAAACCUUUGCGGGUUUGUAGCGUUGGAUGUUGGAGGCUUUUGCUGGCCCAGUCAGCUCCUCUUAAAUGCAUUAGCUUGGUUCCUUGUGGAUCGGCUGUCGGUGUGAUAAUGUCUACGCCGCACCCGUGAAGCGAUUGGAGAGCUUCUAAUGGUCUCGUCAGAGACAGCUUUUAUGAA
rnacentral:misc_RNA from 1 species